AUGCCUUUAGCUGGAAAGACCGUAAAGCACAUGUUACAACGAAAAAAACCGAAAAUGUGAACGGUGAACAUGCUAGUAGGUACUUGGAAAAGAUUUUUCAUGGAACCCGCAUGGUUCUACAGACAACAUUAAUACUGUUCCCUGUUAAUUUUUGAAGACACUGAGCAAAACAACCAAGUAAAUG